GGAGCCGUCGCAUAAUUGGUAUUGCACCGGUCUCGAAAACCGGCGCCCGAAAGGGCUUGUGGGUUCGAGUCCCACCGGCUCCG
rnacentral:tRNA from 1 species